rnacentral:rRNA from 1 species
CACGUAGGGUGCGAGCGUUAAUCGGAAUUACUGGGCGUAAAGCGUGCGCAGGCGGUUCGCUAAGACCGAUGUGAAAUCCCCGGGCUUAACCUGGGAACUGCAUUGGUGACUGGCGAGCUAGAGUGUGGCAGAGGGGGGUAGAAUUCCACGUGUAGCAGUGAAAUGCGUAGAGAUGUGGAGGAAUACCGAUGGCGAAGGCAGCCCCCUGGGCUAACACUGACGCUCAUGCACGAAAGCGUGGGGAGCAAACAGG